GAUGAACGCUGGCGGCGUGCCUAAUACAUGCAAGUCGAGCGAACAGACGAGGAGCUUGCUCCUCUGACGUUAGCGGCGGACGGGUGAGUAACACGUGGAUAACCUACCUAUAAGACUGGGAUAACUUCGGGAAACCGGAGCUAAUACCGGAUAAUAUAUUGAACCGCAGGGUUCAAUAGUGAAAGACGGUUUUGCUGCCACUUAUAGAUGGAUCCGCGCCGCAUUAGCUAGUUGGUAAGGUAACGGCUUACCAAGGCAACGAUGCGUAGCCGACCUGAGAGGGUGAUCGGCCACACUGGAACUGAGACACGGUCCAGACUCCUACGGGAGGCAGCAGUAGGGAAUCUUCCGCAAUGGGCGAAAGCUUGACGGAGCAACGCCGCGUGAGUGAUGAAGGUCUUCGGAUCGUAAAACUCUGUUAUUAGGGAAGAACAAAUGUGUAAGUAACUAUGCACGUCUUGACGGUACCUAAUCAGAAAGCCACGGCUAACUACGUG
rnacentral:rRNA from 1 species